GGAAGGCAAUUGGAAGCAGCUGGCAUGAGAUUAAAUAGUCUCUAUGGGAUGGUAGAGGACAGGAAGGCCUGGAGGAACAUUGUCUAUGGGGUCACGAUGGGUGGGACACAACUGCGCAACUAACAACAACAACAACAACAAAACCAAUAGGGAAGACCCCCAAUGGACUUCUGCAUGGAAGAACCCACCUUGUCAGCAAUUCUGCACGGAUGUUCAAGAGAAAAGGAAUUAAUUGCCUCAGCCGAGCAGAAAGACAACACAGACGUUUCGCGGGGAGAUAAACACAAAAGCUGCAACCGAACGAUAAUGGAAGCACCUUUGGUCUGACUUCUUCAAAUCGUCUCCGCCGGAGCGCCUGCGACUUCGCUAAGGGGAAAUGAAAAAUGCCGGAGAAGAAAUAAUCAUUUUUGAAGGAGGGGGGAAAAAAAAAUUGAAAUUAUACAGUCCCCGGAAAUAUUAUGCGUGGGUAGUCCUCGAUUUACAACCGUUCGGUUCAAAGUGACGGUUCAAAGUUACGACGGCACUGGAAAAAGGGACUUAGUAACGUUUUUCACACUUAUGACCGUUGCACCAUCCCCAGGGGGCAGGUGACUUACAUUCGGAUGGUUGACAACUGGGUCAUCUUUAUGACGGUUGGAAUGGCCCAGGGUUCACGUGAUCUCCUUUGGCCGCCUUCUGACAAGCAAAAUCACUGGGGAAGCCACGCAACAAACAAGUUACUAAUUGAACACCUGCCGGGAUUCACUUAACAAAAGUGGCAAGAAAUGUCAUAAAAUGAGGCAAAACUCACUUGACAAAUGUCUCAGUUUUUCCUUCCUUCUUUCCUUCCUUCCUCCCUCCCUCCCUCCCU